GACGUAGGGCGCAAGCGUUGUCCGGAUUUAUUGGGCGUAAAGAGCUCGUAGGCGGUUUGUCGCGUCUGCUGUGAAAUCCCGAGGCUCAACCUCGGGCCUGCAGUGGGUACGGGCAGACUGGAGUGCGGUAGGGGAGAAUGGAAUUCCUGGUGUAGCGGUGGAAUGCGCAGAUAUCAGGAGGAACACCGAUGGCGAAGGCAGUUCUCUGGGCCGUAACUGACGCUGAGGAGCGAAAGCGUGGGGAGCGAACAGG
rnacentral:rRNA from 1 species